UACCUGGUUGAUCCUGCCAGUAAUCAUAUGCUUGUCUCAAAGAUUAAGCCAUGCAUGUCUAAGUACAUGCCGAAAUAAGGCGAAACCGCGAAUGGCUCAUUAAAUCAGUUAUGGUUCCUUAGAUCGUUUCUUCCUACUUGGAUAACUGUGGCAAUUCUAGAGCUAAUACAUGCAGUGAGCCUGAAGCCCUUUGGGCGACGGGUGCUUUUAUUAGACCAAGAUCGAUCGGGUUUCGGCCCGUAUUGUGUGGUGACUCUGGAUAACUUUGUGCUGAUCGCAUGGCCACGAGCCGGCGACGUUUCUUUCAAGUGUCUGCCUUAUCAACUUUCGAUGGUAGGUUACUUGCUUACCAUGGUUGUUACGGGUAACGGAGAAUCAGGGUUCGAUUCCGGAGAGGGAGCCUGAGAAACGGCUACCACAUCCAAGGAAGGCAGCAGGCGCGCAAAUUACCCACUCCCCGGCACGGGGAGGUAGUGACGAAAAAUAACAAUACGGGACUCUUUUGAGGCCCCGUAAUUGAAAUGAGUACACUCUAAAUCCUUUAACGAGGAUCAAUUGGAGGGCAAGUCUGGUGCCAGCAGCCGCGGUAAUUCCAGCUCCAAUAGCGUAUACUAAAGCUGCUGCGGUUAAAAAGCUCGUAGUUGGAUCUCAGUUCCAGACGAGUAGUGCAUCUACCCGAUGCGACGGCUCGGACUGAACAUCAUGCCGGUCCUUUCUUGGUGCACUUCAUUGUGUGCCUCGAGAAGGCCGGUGCUUUUACUUUGAAAAAAUUAGAGUGCUCAACGCAGGCGAGUCGCCUGAAUAAACUUGCAUGGAAUAAUAGAACAAGACCUCGUUUCUGUUCUGUUGGUUUUUGGAAUACGAGGUAAUGAUUAAGAGGGACAGACGGGGGGCAUUCGUAUUGCGGCGCUAGAGGUGAAAUUCUUGGACCGUCGCAAGACGAACUACUGCGAAAGCAUUUGCCAAGAAUGUUUUCUUUGAUCAAGAACGAAAGUCAGAGGUUCGAAGGCGAUCAGAUACCGCCCUAGUUCUGACCAUAAACGAUGCCAACCAGCGAUCCGCCUGAGUUACUCAAAUGACUCGGCGGGCAGCUUCCGGGAAACCAAAGUGUUUGGGUUCCGGGGGAAGUAUGGUUGCAAAGCUGAAACUUAAAGGAAUUGACGGAAGGGCACCACCAGGAGUGGAGCCUGCGGCUUAAUUUGACUCAACACGGGAAAACUUACCCGGCCCGGACACUGGGAGGAUUGACAGAUUGAGAGCUCUUUCUUGAUUCGGUGGAUGGUGGUGCAUGGCCGUUCUUAGUUGGUGGAGCGAUUUGUCUGGUUAAUUCCGAUAACGAACGAGACUCUAGCCUAUUAAAUAGGUGCGGGGUUCCCAGCACCUUACAACCUUCUUAGAGGGACAAGCGGCUCCUAGCCGCACGAAACAGAGCAAUAACAGGUCUGUGAUGCCCUUAGAUGUCCGGGGCCGCACGCGCGCUACACUGAAGGAAGCAGCGUGUCUUUAUCCCUGUCUGAAAGGACUGGGUAACCCGUGGAACUUCUUUCGUGAUUGGGAUAGGGGCUUGCAAUUGUUCCCCUUGAACGAGGAAUUCCCAGUAAGCGCGAGUCAUAAGCUCGCGUUGAUUACGUCCCUGCCCUUUGUACACACCGCCCGUCGCUACUACCGAUUGAAUGAUUUAGUGAGGUCUUCGGACCGAUGUCCGGCGCGGCCUUUCGGUUGCGCCGGUCUGUUGGAAAGAUGACCAAACUUGAUCAUUUAGAGGAAGUAAAAGUCGUAACAAGGUUUCCGUAGGUGAACCUGCGGAAGGAUCAUUA
rnacentral:rRNA from 1 species